UAACACNUAGGGAACCUGCCCGUGCACCGGGAAUACGCUCUGGAAACGGAGAACAAAUCCCGAUGUACAGGAAGGAGGCAUCUUCUUUCUGUGAAACAUCCUCUAGGGGAUGGGGCGCGGAUGGACCUGCGGUGCAUUAGUUGGUUGGCGGGGUAAAGGCCCACCAAGACGAUGAUGCAUAGCCGGCCUGAGAGGGCGGACGGCCACAUUGGGACUGAGACACGGCCCAGACUCCUGCGGGAGGCAGCAGUAGGGAAUUUUCGUCAAUGGGCGCAAGCCUGAACGAGCGAUGCCGCGUGAGUGAAGAAGGCCUUCGGGUCGUAAAGCUCUGUUGCGGGGGAAAAAAGGCAGCAUCAGGAAAUGAGUGCUGACUGAUGGUGCCCCGCCAGAAAGUCACGGCUAACUACGUGCCAGCAGCCGCGGUAAUACGUAGGUGGCGAGCGUUAUCCGGAAUGAUUGGGCGUAAAGGGUGCGCAGGCGGUCCUGCAAGUCUGGAGUGAAACGCAUGAGCUCAACUCAUGCAUGGCUUUGGAAACUGGAGGACUGGAGAGCAGGAGAGGGCGGUGGAACUCCAUGUGUAGCGGUAAAAUGCGUAGAUAUAUGGAAGAACACCAGUGGCGAAGGCGGCCGCCUGGCCUGUUGCUGACGCUGAGGCACGAAAGCGUGGGGAGCAAAUAGGAUUAGAUACCCUAGUAGUCCACGCCGUAAACGAUGAGGACCAAGUGU
rnacentral:rRNA from 1 species